rnacentral:piRNA from 1 species
UGCGUUGAAGACUACUCCUGA